rnacentral:rRNA from 1 species
AUGCACGCUAGCUACAGGCUUAACACAUGCAAGUCGAGGGGAAACGACAUCGAAAGCUUGCUUUUGAUGGGCGUCGACCGGCGCACGGGUGAGUAACGCGUAUCCAACCUGCCCAUCACUUGGGAAUAACCUUGCGAAAGUAAGACUAAUACCCAAUGACAUCCCACGAAGACAUCUGAAUGGGAUUAAAGAUUUAUCGGUGAUGGAUGGGGAUGCGUCUGAUUAGCUUGUUGGCGGGGUAACGGCCCACCAAGGCAACGAUCAGUAGGGGUUCUGAGAGGAAGGUCCCCCACAUUGGAACUGAGACACGGUCCAAACUCCUACGGGAGGCAGCAGUGAGGAAUAUUGGUCAAUGGGCGAGAGCCUGAACCAGCCAAGUAGCGUGCAGGAGGACGGCCCUAUGGGUUGUAAACUGCUUUUAUAAGGGAAUAAAGUGGGUCUCGGGAGACUUUUUGCAUGUACCUUAUGAAUAAGGACCGGCUAAUUCCGUG